CCACCCACUGGAAAAGAAAAUUGGUUGAAAAAACCUUGGUUUGGGGUUGUUAAAAGCCAAAUCCACCCCCUGAGGAGCUUCCAACCCCUCCCUACUGGUUUUUACUGGGAAGGGGGGGGGAGAAACCUCUUGGCAAGAUUUCCCUAAAAAUUCAACCAAAACACCAAGGACUCACCCAGCGCCACGGCUCCACCUCCUCCCCCACUGAUUAAUUUCUGGGAUAAAUUCAUUAAUUGCCAUUAAAUCAACCUUUUCCCAGGAUCCAACCUCCCCUGGAGCUCAUCCCAGGUUCCAACAGAGGAAAGAGCCCCAAAAAAUCUCCAGGAUUGGGCAAAGAGCAGAAAGGUCCCACUGGAGGUGAGUGUUUCCCAGCCAUGGAUUCCCUUGGAGCUCCCAUCCUGCCCUGAGCAUUCCCAGGAAUCUGGAGCCAAGCACUGGAAUUCCUUCCAGCCCAAAGAUUCCUUGGAAGUUCCUUGGGAUUUGAAGCCAAGGAUUCCCCCAAACUCCUCUCCAAGCUCUCAACCCCCGCAGGGAUUGGACUUUUUGGGGAUAAAUCCUGAGGGAAAAAUUAAAAUAUUCCAGGUU